AUUGAACGCUGGCGGCAGGCCUAAUACAUGCAAGUCGAACGGUGUCUUCGGACAUAGUGGCGCACGGGUGCGUAACACGUAUGCAACCUACCUUACAUUGGGGGAUAGCCUUUCGAAAGGGAGAUUAAUACCGCAUAAGACAGUAGCUGGGCAUCCAGCAGCUGUUAAAGAUUUAUCGAUGUAAGCUGGGCAUGCGUCCAAUUAGCUAGUUGGUGAGGUAACGGCUCACCAAGGCAAUGAUUGGUAGGGGAACUGAGAGGUCAAUCCCCCACACUGGCACUGAGAUACGGGCCAGACUCCAACGGGAGGCAGCAGUAGGGAAUAUUGGGCAAUGGACGCAAGUCUGACCCAGCCAUGCCGCGUGCAGGAUGAAGGCGUUAUGCGUUGUAAACUGCUUUUAUACAGGAAGAAACGACUCUUGCGAGAGGCAUUGACGGUACUGUAUGAAUAAGCACCGGCUAACUCCGUGCCAGCAGCCGCAGUAAUAC
rnacentral:rRNA from 1 species